GACUCAGUUACUGAGCCAUUCCCUGGGAAUAACAUCUUGACUAAACAUAAUCUUUAUCUUCAAGGACCUCUCAUUAUUCAGUGGAGUAAAGACACGGGGAAAUGGGGAAUUUUCAUGCAGUCGUUAGAGUUUCUUCUAGAUAAAAUUGGCACUGAGUUUAUACUCAAAUGAGAAGGCUGAAAGGAGUGAGGAAGUGUCAUAGCAACCUAGCAAAUGCUGAUUCUAGAAAAAGCCAACUUAAAAAAAGCACAAAAGCUUUGCAUUAUUUUUACUUGCCCUUGCCUCCCACCUACCCCGACUCAAUGACAGUUUUGAAGCCAGCAGACUGCAUUCUCAAUAAAAGACCCUGGUU
rnacentral:lncRNA from 1 species